AAGAUGGCGACCGGCGCACGGUGAGUAACACGUAUCCAACCUGCCGAUAACUCUGGAAUAGCCUUUCGAAAGAAAGAUUAAUACCGGAUAGUAUACGAAUAUCGCAUGAUAUUUUUAUUUAAAGAAUUUCGGUUAUCGAUGGGGAUGCGUUCCAUUAGUUUGUUGGCGGGGUAACGGCCCACCAAGACUACGAUGGAUAGGGGUUCUGAGAGGAAGGUCCCCCACAUUGGAACUGAGACACGGUCCAAACUCCUACGGGAGGCAGCAUG
rnacentral:rRNA from 1 species